rnacentral:rRNA from 1 species
GACGAACGCUGGCGGCGUGCUUAACACAUGCAAGUCGAACGAAGUGGCGAACGGGUGAGUAACGCGUAAUCAACCUGCCCUUCAGAGGGGGACAACAGUUGGAAACGACUGCUAAUACCGCAUACUGAAGGAGGGGAAUGCGUCUGAUUAGUUAGUGGGGGGGGUAACGGCCCACCAAGGCGAUGAUCAUGAGCCGGUCUGAGAGGAGGAACGGCCACAGUGGGACGGAGACACGGCCAAACCCCUACGGGAGGCAGCAGGGGGGAAUCUUCCGCAAUGGACGAAAGUCUGACUGGGCAACGCCGCGUGGGUGAUGACGGCCUUCGGGUUGGAAAGCUCUGUUAGUCGGGACGCGGUACCGGAAUAGAAAGCCACGGCUAACUACGUGCCAGCAGCCGCGGUAAUAC